AUCAUAGAAACUUUAAUUUGAUUUCUUCUAAUUCUAGUAAGAAUCAAAACAAUUAUUUUCGGUUUAAUUUUCUUAUUAAAAACUUGAUUUUGAUUCUAUUUCUUUUCCUUUUUUAUUAACCUAGAUUUUUCAAUAUAAAUACAAUACAAAACAUUCACAAAGAGGAGGCCAUUGAUACUACCAAAAAAAUCUCACGUAACAGUCAUAGAAAUCGGAAACAAUCCCAAAGGAUCUGCCACCGUGCCAACGCCGAAAGUGUCUCCACCAUAUCGGAUCCGUGCCGCAAAAAGAAAACUCCAACGAAUUCAUAAACUCCGGCCUCCGACUGCACCUUGCUGCACUUGUCCGCCUCCGACGAGAUCAGCCUUGGACGAAGCCUACUCCGGUCGCGGUGCUAGACCCACUCGCGAUCUCUGCUGCAAUCACUAGUCCUGAUUUAGAAUCAUGUUUUUAGACAUAUUAACAAAGUUCCCGGUGACAAAACAUACGAGUGAUUUGACACGGUGAGUGUGUAGCUAAGAAGGAUGAAAGAUAUGGUUCCCAUAUUAUUACGUUAUGUUCAAAGCCGUCAGAAACCUGUGGGAUACGCAUGAUGCCCAUUUUCGUGUGAUUUUGUUUACAUGGUUUGCUGCUAUUAAUAUUGACAUAUUCUUUUUGUCCAAUAUUUGUCUGGCCUAAAUAAUAGGAUAAACCCCAUUAAUGUAUCUAAACAAACUUGCACAUGGUGUUGUUGCCCGAGUUUCCGCCAUGUUGGAAUUGAUGGAGCCAUGCUAGAGUGUAAGAGACAAGUAACUGAUUUUUCAUUGUUAUAAUUAUUGAUUUUGAAUUAUUAUUAAUAAUUUUGGUAAA